rnacentral:rRNA from 1 species
AUGACGAAAAGGGGGUGGAAAAAGAACCCUAGUUGCUCCUUCUGUGUAGAGAAAGAGACUUCUCAGCACCUUUUCUUUAUUUGCCCAAUAGCCAGGGCGACCUGGAGGGCUGUGGCAUGCAUGUUUGGGACUGAUCUAUGCCCUAACAAUCUUUGGCAAGCUUAUUCGUGGUGCCAUUCCUUCUUCCCAGAAGGAGAGGUGUUCCAUACUGUUGGCAUUGCUGCUAUCUGCUGGGCUAUUUGGAACUGUCGUAAUAGAGCUACAUUUGAGUUUAUAACUCUGAAAAAUCCUUCUGAAUGCACAUUUUCUGCUUGUGCUCUCUUGUGUUAUUGGGCAGGGUUGAUGAAAACACAGAAGGAUGCAGAUGACCUGAGAACUGGAGCGACUAUGCUGAAGGAAAGCGCUUCAAGACUGAUGCAGAUAUGUGCCACGGCGUACCAGAAUGAUGGAGCUCGCUGA